AGUGUUAAAGAUGGCUCUUUACUGAAGGUUUGUUCCCAGGAAAGAAAAGACGCCACUGAUUCUGUACAUGGAGGUUGGGUGACUGAUCUGCACUUCUCCCCAAACAACUCUGUGCUCGUUUCUACCGGAGGCUACAUCAAGUGGUGGGACGUGGCGAGAGGUGAAUCCCUGCAGACGUUUUAUCCGACAGGAAGCGCCCUCAAGAAGAUCCACGUGUCGCCCGACUUCUCCACCUUCGUCACCAUCGACAACAUCGGUAUCCUCUACAUCC